rnacentral:lncRNA from 1 species
UUUCUGAAAUUUGGUUUCAGGAUUUAUAUAAGUCAGCUAUACCGUGUGAUGCGUUUUCAGAUUCAUCACUCGACAACUUCCUGUUUACCGAACACUUGUAUGAUUUUACACAUGAUAACCAAGUUAAAAAUUUUCGUCACAUUUUUCUCAUGAACUACAAUACAAGGAUUUCUGAAAUUUGGUUUCAGGAUUUUUAUAAGUCAGCUAUACCGUGUGAUGCGUUUUCAGAUUCAUCACUCGACAACUUCCUGUUUACCGAACACUUGCAUAUUUUUACACUAUUAAUAUUAUCCACUUGCGGCGGGGG